UUCUGCGCAUGUGCGAAGUUCAUUUUUAUUCUAAAGUCGUCAAGAGAGGUUCCUGUUAACGCUGCUCCUGGGCGUGGGCCUACCUCGACUGGAUGAGGCCCAUGUUCAGUCUUGGGGUGCCAGUCGUGGUCAGCUGGGAAUCGAGUCGUCCUCUGGAUCAUCAAUGGAUGGUCUGGGUAGAUGUCCUGGUCAAUCGGGCGAUGUCGUUGUGAUGGUAUCAUGACAGGAGAGAGCACAAGAUGAAGGAGUGAGAUGGGGCUUAUAUAUACUAAGGAGGCGGAGUCAAGGAGUUCAUCUCUACAAGCAACUCAUACAAUCACAUUGUUAGAAAGGACCAACGGCCCUGCUCAGAAAUCCAAAUUAAAGGAUCCCCAACCAACACCCAGUUGCACGAUUACAAGAAUACUGCUAUGACACAUAUACUCUGUUUUUAAACUUUAUACUGUCCUCCAGAUUGGCGUUUAAGCAAGACUUCUGCCUCUUUUCUUCUUCAAUCUACUUCUGCUAAAAUUACAACUGGGCGAAAAUA